GCAAACAGUGUUUUUCGACCUUAGCUGUAAAGAGGUCCGCGUAAGAAAAUAGUACCAGAAUAUUUCAAGCAAAACAAUAACAAUUCAUUUAUUUACAAGACAACAGCCACUUACAAAUGUUACCAAAACUCAACCAAAACAAUAACAAUAACCAAAUUAUAUUUAUAGCGAUGUUAAGAGUCAGGUUCAUUUAGAAUUUGUUUUUCUACACAGUAGGCCGAGCACGUGAGUCGACUUGGCGUGUAGAGCAAAUCGAUGCUUUUUGUCGGAUUUACGGUGUGUCAAAGGUGUUAUUGCAAUACUGGAUUAGUUAUUGUGUACAUGAAAAUUCUGGAUGUUGAACGUUGCCCCGAAGAACUGGGAUUUAAAUGAGCUGGACAGUGACUGCUGAAAGCUGUAUUGUGGCUGUGGGUGGGGAACUUGCACUUGUGUUUCGGGUAGAAUUUCCGCUUCGGUCUGAUGUUGUUCCGGCUGGCUAGGGGGCUGCGUUGACGAAAAUGUGGCCGUGCUGGUGACAUAGUGUUUCCUUCCUUGAAUUGGAUCUGCAUUUUGACCAUGGGAGGCAAGUAUCAAAUUGAUUAUACCUAAGGCUGUAUUGUUCCUUCGUGCCACGCAAACCAAAAUGCAAGCAGUUGUUUAGCCACAUGGUGUGGACAAGAGCUUUUGGACUGUUGGGACCUAGGGCACCCUUCUGCCACAUUAUAUCUAUUUCAUGGUCGCUUCCGGUCCAGGCUACUGAUGAUGGCCCGGAUACUUGUCGGCUCAAACUCUGUGCCAUCUUCGCGUUGCAGGGAUAGAAUGAACGUUGCAAUAUGCUCGUCAAGGAAAUCGACAUCCAACUGAUGCAUUUCCCUGGUCUCACCCUUUGUCAGUAGAAACCUCUGGAACUUUUUUGUGUCAUUUAAUGUUUUUUUUGCUGUGUUUUUGUUUUCUUCUUUUGUGAUGUACUGUCGGACUUCAGAAAGCUCUAUGUUUUUAAAUUCAUUUUGAAUUGACUGGUUGAGAUGUUUAGCUUCAUUUUGAAUUGUAACAUUUGUGUUAUUUUGAUCAUCACAAUUUGACUCAGGGGCAUUAUUCUCAGUUAAAUCCUCAUCAAAUUGAAGUGCAUUUAUUCCAUAUUUUUGCUCAAAUUCUUCCAAACUUAAUUCCACAGCAUUUGAAAACAAACCAUCCCAUACUACAUCAAAA